AUUUUUAAACCUUUGUCCCUCUAAUUUAAGACUAUGUCCUCUUGUUGUGGUAGUUUUUCUUCUUUUAAAUAUAGUCUCCUCCUUUACUGUGUUGAUUCCCUUUAUGUAUUUAAAUGUUUCUAUCAUAUCCCCUGUCUCGUCUUUCCUCCAAGCUAUACAUGUUAAGAUCCUUUAACCUUUCCUGGUAAGUUUUAUCCCGCAAUCCAUGAACCAGUUUAGUAGCCCUUCUCUGAACCCUCUCUUUAACUGAUCAAUUAAUUGUUACUCCUCUUUGGAAAACAGAUGUAUUUUUAUUAGCACUUUAACUGAUGUUCUGAAAUGAAUUAUUAAUAUAAAUAGAAGUAUUAAUCAUCUUUGGAAUACAGAUGUAUUCUGAUCAGUAUUUUAAUUGAUGUUUUGAAGCAACCGGAAUCACAUACAAAUGCGUUCCAAAUGUAAUGUCAUGUAGAUUUUGCUCAAUAAAGUUUCUUUUUCCCAUGAGCCGGAACGCAUACACGGCUCAAAGCAUAGAGAAAGCGAUAACCGGAAGUGACAUCACCAUUACAAGUGACGCUGGAACACACGUUGCGUUCCAUUACACCGGAAGAGGAAACUGGUAAAAGUAAAAGUAAACAACAAGCAGCACAUUUAAAGAAGAAAGAGUCGGCAAGACCAACUAAAACCAACUGAGGAAGCCGGUUUGACCAGGCGAAACGCGUUUUAGACAUUUAUAUGGACUACUAAGCUAUCCGGAAACAUUAUCUGGUACAUUUUACUUAUUUUAAUUUUGUGAAAGUUUUUUAUAGAUUAAAUAAAGCACUUUUUUUGAAGAUACCACUUUGACUUGGUGUGUAUACACCUCCAAGCCUGUGAAGUGUGGGGAAACUCCGAACACUCUGA